rnacentral:snRNA from 1 species
AUGAGCGCCAUAUAUACUAAAACUGGAACAGUACAAAGAAGAAUAGCAUGGCCCCUG